CAAAAGCGUAUAUUAAAGUUGUUGCAGUUAAAAAGCUCGUAGUUGGAUUUCUGGUGGGAGCGAUCGGUCUGGCGCUUAGCGCGAGUACUUGCAUCGUCUCCGGCCAUCCUUGGGGAGAGUCUGUCUGGCAUUAAGUUGUCGGGCAGAGGAUCCUCAUCGUUUACUGUGAAAAAAUUAGAGUGUUCAAAGCAGGCUUAUGCCGUUGAAUAUAUUAGCAUGGAAUAAUAAGAUAGGACUUUGGUACUAUUUUGUUGGUUUGCGCACCAAAGUAAUGAUUAAUAGGGACAGUUGGGGGUAUUCGUAUUCCGUUGUCAGAGGUGAAAUUCUUGGAUUUACGGAAGACGAACUACUGCGAAAGCAUUUACCAAGGAUGUUUUCAUUAA
rnacentral:rRNA from 1 species